rnacentral:rRNA from 1 species
CCGAGCGUUGUCCGGAAUUACUGGGCGUAAAGAGCUCGUAGGUGGUUUGUCGCGUUGUUCGUGAAAACUCACAGCUCAACUGUGGGCGUGCGGGCGAUACGGGCAGACUGGAGUACUGCAGGGGAGACUGGAAUUCCUGGUGUAGCGGUGGAAUGCGCAGAUAUCAGGAGGAACACCGGUGGCGAAGGCGGGUCUCUGGGCAGUAACUGACGCUGAGGAGCGAAAGCGUGGGGAGCGAACAGGAUUAGAUACCCUGGUAGUCCACGCCGUAACGGUGGGUACUAGGUGUGGGUUUCCUUCCUUGGGAUCCGUGCCGUAGCUAACGCAUUAAGUACCCCGCCUGGGGAGUACGGCCGCAAGGCUAAAACUCAAAGAAAUUGACGGGGGCCCGCACAAGCGGCGGAGCAUGUGGAUUAAUUCGAUGCAACGCGAAGAACCUUACCUGGGUUUGACAUGCACAGGACGUGCCUAGAGAUAGGUAUUCCCUUGUGGCCUGUGUGCAGGUGGUGCAUGGCUGUCGUCAGCUCGUGUCGUGAGAUGUUGGGUUAAGUCCCGCAACGAGCGCAACCCUUAUCUUAUGUUGCCAGCGCGUAAUGGCGGGGACUCGUGAGAG